GGCCUGAGGCUGGAUCACUUUAAGAGAACUGUGUUGUUUGGAUUUCUGAGUAACCAGUAAGGUGACUUCUGAGCAGUAUCCCCAGAUGCAAGAGGAAGCUUCAGAAUAGAGUCCAGAAGUAAAGACAGUAUUGCAGAACCAAAGUGCUGCAUUGGAUCUGACACCAUGGAUCAGGGCCUAAUGUUUCACAAACAUAUGUAUUGAAGCCCAUGUAGCAGCCCUACGUAUUUCAGAUACUGGUACAUUCUUCAGUAGUGCGGUAGAUGUUGCCUGCAAUCUGGAUGAAUGUGCUGUCUUCCUUUAAGGGUCAGGGGGAGGGGAUGAAUGCCCGCAACAUCAUAGCAAGUGAUAAUACAUCUAGAUAUCCAUCUCAAUAGUCUCUGAGUAGAGAUCCAGUAUCCUGUGGAUCUAUCCACAAAGGAAACAAAGAGGCUAAGUGACUUCCUAAAUUGCUUGGUCCUAUCUAAAUACAACGCCAGUGCCCUUCUAACAUCCAAGAUCCAACAGAUAAUCCAGGAUGUCUGAAAGCAGGAGGCAGUGAUGACACCACCAAUGGAAGAAUUUCUUCCAUUUCUGCAUGCCGUGAGGCAGAGUACUGCUAGGUUUGGAUGAAAAUGCAUGACUUGUGUCUUUGACAAGAGAUAAUGGUCAGGAGCUUGGAUGAUGAUUGGACACAUAGAUGAAGCAGAGCGACAAACGAUGUUUGGGAGUUAUUCCGUCCAGCAAGUCUUCUGUCCUCUUGGGCAGCUUUACGAUAUCUCUCGCAACUGUCUCAUUCAAUUGCCUUAUUGAACUCCUGGGGGAAUUCUGCACCAAAA